UUCGUCCACUGUCCGACCCUGAGACUGGGCCUGCCCCCUUGGGGCUCUCUGAGGGAUUCUGUCCGCCGGGCUCCCAGCCCGGGGGAGGACGACCUCCAGGCUGCCCGGAAGCUUCUAGCUUAUUCCGCUCCUUCCCUUCCCAAUCUUCUGAGGGAGCAGUUUCUUUUCAACAUCGGCCUGAGUCCCCAGGAUCCAGCGAGUAUUCAUCUUUUACCUUAUCUUCUCUUUUCAUGCCUUUCUUCUCUUCUUCUCUUUUUCUCCUUUGUUUCUUUCUUUCUUUCCCUUUCUUCUUUUCUUCU
rnacentral:lncRNA from 1 species